rfam:Planktothrix serta PCC 8927 isolate BBR_PRJEB10992 genome assembly, scaffold: BBR_A_PL8927_scaffold5
GUCUUAACUGACUACGUUUUUUGAGUCAAGACACCCUGUUGGAUGCGUAGCUAGUCCCUGGCUCUGUCGUUAGUGGUUAAACAUCUUUAUCGGGUUAAGGAAGUGCUGCUAACCUAACAAGCUCUUAAAACCUUAUUGAAGCUAACUUUAC